GGAUGUGAGGGCGAUCUGGCUGCGACAUCUGUCACCCCAUUGGUCGCCAGGGUUGAUUCGGCUGAUCUGGCUGGCUAGGCGGGUGUCCCCUUCCUCCCUCACCGCUCCAUGUGCGUCCCUCCCGAAGCUGUGCGCUCGGUGGAAGAGGACGACCAUCCCAGAUAGAAGGAGUAUACCGUUCUUCGGUCAAGGGUAUACGAUAGCUGCGCUCCCCUGCUAGAACCUCCAAACAAGCGAAAAGGCAUGUUUUAGAAAGUACCGCAACAUAACUCAGGACACCUUUUUUUAAUACUAUCACUGGGCUUUGAG